rnacentral:miRNA from 10 species
CCAUGUCACACAUUCGUCACAGU